UACAGAGGGCGCAAGCGUUAUUCGGAUUCACUGGGCAUAAAGAGCACGUAGGCGGCUACGUAAGUCGGAUGUGAAAUCCCGCGGCUCAACCGCGGAAUGGCAUCCGAUACUGCGUGGCUCGAGGUCGGAAGGGGUAAGCGGAACUCCAGGUGGAACGGUGAAAUGUGUAGAUAUCUGGAGGAACACCGGUGGCGAAGGCGGCUUACUGGUCCGAAUCUGACGCUGAGGUGCGAAAGCUAGGGGAGCGAACGGGAUUAGAUACCCCCGUAGUCC
rnacentral:rRNA from 1 species